rnacentral:rRNA from 1 species
UACGUAGGGUGCGAGCGUUGUCCGGAAUUACUGGGCGUAAAGCGUGCGCAGGCGGCUUUGCAAGUCAGAUGUGAAAUCCCCGGGCUUAACCUGGGAACUGCAUUUGUGACUGCAUGGCUGGAGUGCGGCAGAGGGGGAUGGAAUUCCGCGUGUAGCAGUGAAAUGCGUAGAUAUCAGGAGGAACACCGAUGGCGAAGGCAGGUCUCUGGGCUGACACUGACGCUCAUGCACGAAAGCGUGGGGAGCGAACAGG